GAUGCAACGCGAAAGACCUUACCUACCCUUGACAUGUCUGAAAUCCUGGAGAGAUCUGGGAGUGCUCGAAAGAGAAUCAGAACACAGGUGCUGCAUGGCCGUCGUCAGCUCGUGUCGUGAGAUGUUGGGUUAAGUCCCGCAACGAGCGCAACCCUUGUCAUUAGUUGCUACGAAAGGGCACUCUAAUGAGACUGCCGGUGACAAACCGGAGGAAGGUGGGGAUGACGUCAGGUCCUCAUGGCCCUUAUGGGUAGGGCUACACACGUCAUACAAUGGCCGGUACAGAGGGCUGCCAACCCGCGAGGGGGAGCCAAUCCCAGAAAACCGGUCGUAGUCCGGAUCGUAGUCUGCAACUCGACUGCGUGAAGUCGGAAUCGCUAGUAAUCGCGGAUCAGCUUGCCGCGGUGAAUACGUUCCCGGGUCUUGUACACACCGCCCGUCACACCAUGGGAGCGGGUUCUGCCAGAAGUAGUUAGCCUAACCGAAAGGGGGGCGAUUACCACGGCAGGGUUCGUGACUGGGGUGAAGUCGUAACAAGGUAACCGU
rnacentral:rRNA from 1 species